AUUUGACACAGAUGAAGGGUGAUGAAUUUGGUGAUUGUAACAGGGAUGAAGAUCUAAAUGAUCUAAAAAUGAUUUGAACUUGAAGACUCUGUUAACUAAGUAAACCUAGCCCAUUGAAGCUUCCCAGCAGCAUCAAAAGCUUUGGUUGUGGGGAUGGGAGUUAAGGUUUCUCCCAAGUAUUAUUCUCAUUUUAUGUUACCCCAUAGAUACAGAAACUAGAUUUUUGUAGUUUUUUUCCUAUAACUGAAGUUUAG
rnacentral:misc_RNA from 1 species